GCGGUGAGCAUGUGGUUAAUUCGAUGAUACGCGAAGAACCUUACCGGGUUUGACAUGCAGGUGAUCGCCGUUGAAAGACGGUUUCCUCUUCGGAGGCACCUGCACAGGUGCUGCAUGGCUGUCGUCAGCUCGUGUCAUGAGAUGUUGGGCUAAGUCCCGCAACGAGCGCAACCCUUGUCAUUAGUUGCUACGAAAGGGCACUCUAAUGAGACUGCCGGUGACAAACCGGAGGAAGGUGGGGAUGACGUCAAGUCCUCAUGGCCCUUAUAGGUGGGGCUACACACGUCAUACAAUGGCUGGUACAAAGGGUUGCCAACCCGCGAGGGGGAGCCAAUCCCAUAAAGCCAGUCGUAGUCCGGAUCGCAGUCUGCAACUCGACUGCGUGAAGUCGGAAUCGCUAGUAAUCGUGGAUCAGCAUGUCACGGUGAAUACGUUCCCGGGUCUU
rnacentral:rRNA from 1 species